rnacentral:misc_RNA from 1 species
ACAAACUUGGUCAUUUAGAGGAAGUAAAAGUCGUAACAAGGUAUCCGUAGGUGAACCUGCGGAUGGAUCAUUCAUAUGUGAAAUGGCCCAAGUGGUCAUUUUUGUUAUGUGCAAUGUAAUAUGAUUGUGUGUCGCUCUAUUGUGAGCGACAUGCAUCUUUUUUACCCAUUAUCAAUCCUAUUCUAUCUUAUUUGAACAAAGAACCUUGAAAACUGCCAGCAAUGGAUCCCUCGGUUCUCGCAUCGAUGAAGAACGCAGC